UCGGCGGGCUGGAUAAGUGCAUCUUGCUUAUUGUUGGGAAUACCCCAUCGAUAGGCGGAUGAGGAAAGUCCGGGCUCCACGAGACAGGGUGCCAUAUAACAUGUGGCGAAGGCAACUUCAGGGAAAGUGCCACAGAAAAUAACCGCCUGAGGGGCGUCUGUCCCUAGGGUAAGGGUGAAAAGGUGUGGUAAGAGCACACCGCGCUCGUGGCAACACUGAGCGGACAAGGUAAACCCCACUCGGAGCAAGUCUAAAUGGAGCAUAGCCAUCAGGCGGCUUUGUCUCGGUGCCUUUAUGCUCAGGUGAGACGCUUCAAGACGUAUGCCCUUAUGGGACGUCUGAGAUAAAUACUUAUCCGCACGUCCAUGCUGUCUGCAUGAUGUGUGACAGAACCCGGCUUAUAGGCUCGCCGAUAGA
rnacentral:RNase_P_RNA from 1 species